rnacentral:rRNA from 1 species
GACGAGGGGUCCUAGCGUUGUUCGGAAUCACUGGGCGUAAAGCGUAUGUAGGCGGGCUUCUAAGUCGGGUGUGAAAUCCCAUGGCUCAACCAUGGAAUUGCAUUCGAAACUGGAAGUCUUGAGUGUGGGAGAGAUUGGUAGAAUACCUGGUGUAGUGGUGAAAUACGUAGAUAUCAGGUGGAAUACCGGUGGCGAAGGCGGCCAAUUGGCCCAACACUGACGCUGAGGCACGAAAGCGUGGGGAGCAAACAGG